rnacentral:rRNA from 1 species
UGGGGAAUAUUGCACAAUGGGCGCAAGCCUGAUGCAGCCAUGCCGCGUGUAUGAAGAAGGCCUUCGGGUUGUAAAGCACUUUCAGCGGGGAGGAAGGCGGUGAGGUUAAUAACCUUGGCGAUUGACGUUACCCGCAGAAGAAGCACCGGCUAACUCCGUGCCAGCAGCCGCGGUAAUACGGAGGGUGCAAGCGUUAAUCGGAAUUACUGGGCGUAAAGCGCACGCAGGCGGUCUGUCAAGUCGGAUGUGAAAUCCCCGGGCUCAACCUGGGAACUGCAUUCGAAACUGGCAGGCUAGAGUCUUGUAGAGGGGGGUAGAAUUCCAGGUGUAGCGGUGAAAUGCGUAGAGAUCUGGAGGAAUACCGGUGGCGAAGGCGGCCCCCUGGACAAAGACUGACGCUCAGGUGCGAAAGCGUGGGGAGCAAACAGG